GGAGUCGUCCUUGAAAUACCACUCUGGUUAUGGCGUGCGCCUGAACCUGGGCCCGUGAUCCGGGUUAGGGACAGUGCCUGGUGGGUAGUUUAACUGGGGCGGUUGCCUCCUAAAGUGUAACGGAGGCGCUCAAAGGUUCCCUCAGCCUGGUCGGCAACCAGGUGUUGAGUGCAAGUGCACAAGGGAGCUUGACUGUGAGACCGACGGGUCGAGCAGGUACGAAAGUAGGAACUAGUGAUCCGGCGAUCCCGUGUGGGUGGGUCGUCGCUCAACGGAUAAAAGGUACCCCGGGGAUAACAGGCUGAUCCUGCCCAAGAGUCCAUAUCGACGGCAUGGUUUGGCACCUCGAUGUCGGCUCGUCGCAUCCUGGGGCUGGAGCAGGUCCCAAGGGUUGGGCUGUUCGCCCAUUAAAGCGGUACGCGAGCUGGGUUUAGAACGUCGUGAGACAGUUCGGUCCCUAUCCUCUGCGCGCGCAGGAGACUUGAGAAGGCCUGUCCCUAGUACGAGAGGACCGGGACGGACGAACCUCUGGUGUGCCAGUUGUCCCGCCCGGGGCACGGCUGGUUGGCUACGUUCGGGAAGGGUAACCGCUGAAAGCAUCUAAGCGGGAAACCAUCUUCAAGAUAAGGUCUCCACAGAACACCUUUGGUGUUCUGGUAGGCCCCCAGUAGACUACUGGGUUGAUAGGCCAGAAGUGGAAGACCGGCAACGGUCUGUGAGCUGACUGGUACUAAUAGGCCAACACAAACAACAACA
rnacentral:rRNA from 1 species